rnacentral:lncRNA from 1 species
CACGGAAAUCGAUUAUAAAACAGCGAGUCCAUUGCUCCUUUUACGGCAAAGGAAGCAUAGAGCAGAAAUCAAAGAGCCACCCUCGGCUCAACGAUGAACUGGUUGAAAUGCUAGCCCUCCUUGCGUUAACAGUCCAAUUGCGGAUAGAAUACAUCCCACGGUCGUGAGGUUUCGUCCAAUGGAAUAAAAGUUUCAAUUGAAACCAAGCUUCUCGAGAGUUGGCGGAUUCGGAAUUUGGUGCAAUUCGAUGAUCGACAUAUCGACAUCAAGCAGACGCCAGUCGUGCGACCGAUUUUCAAAAAUUGAUCUUCAUUUGAAGUCGCAAAUCACGAAGAGUUCUUCAUGUCGCAAAUUGUGCAUCUGCAGGAUUGAUUUUUGAACCCAUCCGAUGUAGCUGAUACGGAAUAAACUGGACAAAAAUAUUAUUAAAAUGACAUGUAAUACCUAUAUUGAAUAUGAAAGAAUAUACUUUAUACAAUAACUAGCUGAUCCGGCCACGCGUUGCCGGGGCUCAGUUUAUAAUAUAUUUUCCCCAUUUUGUAACAUUUGUUAUUGAUGCUCCGCUCUUAUUGGUCAUAGCAUGAUGUUAUAUAGUCUAUAGGCUUCCUGGAUAAAUAGACUAUGCAACACAAAAAGGGAAUUUUAUUCCACAUUUACGGGAGUAGAAAAACUUUUCGUCCCGCAAAUUUACUUUUCUUCGUACGUAGAGAAAAGUAUAAUAGGGAAUCAGAUUAGGUUAGGUUAG